GUCCUCUUGAAUUUAAUUUGAGGUCUGACCUGCCCAGUGAUUAAUUUAACGGCCGCGGUAUAUUGACCGUGCAAAGGUAGCAUAAUCAUUAGUCUUUUAAUAGAGGGCUGGAAUGAAAGGUUUAACGAGGAACUGGCUGUCUCAUUUUAUUUGUAUUAAAAUUUAAUUUUUUAGUCAAAAAGCUAAAAUUUAAUUGGAAGACGAGAAGACCCUAUAGAUCUUUAUAUAAUUAUAUUAAUUUUAUAAUAUAUUAAUAUAUUUUAUUAUAAUUGUAUUUUGUUGGGGUGACAAAAAUAUAUAAUUAACUUUUUUAUAAUUUAACCAUUGAUUUAUGAAUAACAGAUCCAUUUUUAGUGAUUAUUAGAUUAAGUUACCUUAGGGAUAACAGCGUAAUCCUCUUCCAGAGUUCAUAUUUACAGGGGGGCUUGCGACCUCGAUGUUGGAUUAAGAUAAUAAUUAGGUGUAGCCGCUUAAUGUAUAGGUCUGUUCGACCUUUAAAUUCUU
rnacentral:rRNA from 1 species